rnacentral:rRNA from 1 species
GACGAACGCUGGCGGCGUGCUUAACACAUGCAAGUCGAACGGAAAGGCCCUGCUUGCAGGGUGCUCGAGUGGCGAACGGGUGAGUAACACGUGGGUGAUCUGCCCCUUACUUUGGGAUAAGCCUGGGAAACUGGGUCUAAUACUGGAUAGGACCAUGCUGUAGGUGGUGUGGUGGAAAGAUUAGUUUCGGUAAGGGAUGAGCUCGCGGCCUAUCAGCUUGUUGGUGGGGUAAUGGCCUACCAAGGCGUCGACGGGUAGCCGGCCUGAGAGGGUGGACGGCCACAUUGGGCCUGCGAUACGGCCCAGACUCCUACGGGAGGCAGCAGUGGGGAAUAUUGCACAAUGAGCGCAAGCCUGAUGCAGCGACGCCGCGUGGGGGAUGACGGCCUUCGGGUUGUAAACUCCUUUCAGCCAUGACGAAGCCCUUGUGGUGACGGUAGUGGUAGAAGAAGCACCGGCUAACUACGUG